AAGAGCCAGCUUAAUUAGCAUAAUUUGAUUGUUUACCCCAUAUAGCUAUGAGAAUAUUUCUUAUGUUGACAUUAUCUUUUACAAGAGAUAAAACUGAUUCAAUUCUUCACUCCAAAAUCUGGUACUUUUAAUUUGUGUCUGUCUGCUAAAUCUUUACCUGAUUUUUUGAAUUAAUUACCACAUGUAUCAUUGAAUACUAUAAAAAAUGCCAUUAUUCUAAUUUAUCUCAGAAAUCAGUCUAAGUUUAAUGCUUGCAAAAAAGACUCCGAGAGCUUAAGACUUUCUUGAGUUGCUUGUCUUAGUGUAUUGUACUACUAAAACCAGGCAAAAUGUACAAAAAGUGCAAGGCAAGGUGGACAUUUUGAUGCUUGUCUUCUGCCAUGCCACUCCACCACCAGCAUGGCCAAGUGGUCAAAUGAACUCCAUUUAUAGGCAAAGAACAACUGGUAGUAACUAAAGUAGAGGGAGAUAGGAAAACACUGACAGACAUUUGAUACAAGGAAAGUUGUGUACUUGGGUUCAUUUCUUUCUUUUCUGAAUUUUGCAGUUCUUUCUACAUUACAUUUCCAUCAGGUAAUGACGAUGUCAUCAUGUAGCAAAAUCAGAGAUGACCACAACACUUGACUAAAAGUGAUAAAUCUAACCAUGAUUAUUUUGGAAGAUAAAGAAGUAAAAUUGAAAAGUAGACAGAGAAAGCACACAAAAAUCUUGUAGAAACACCAAAAGAAAGAAUGCAGAUUAAACCACAGAAAUGACCGGUAUCAAAAGAUCCAGAACCUUAAAAUGUCCCCAGAAUGCUCCUUUCAAGACUAACAACCCACAUCCCCCAGCUGAAUUAUGCUCCUUUGUCAUGGAAUUCACACCCCACCCCCUCCACUGACGCAAACUUUGGAGAGCAACUCCAUGGAGGAUAACCUAAGCGCUGCCUGCAGAGUUAAGUGAGCUGUCCUUGCUUGUUAUUGUAACAUUGAUAUACAUAUCUUCCUU
rnacentral:lncRNA from 1 species